GGGUCAGUAGGUUGGUCGUGCCACCGGUACGUACUGGUCUCACUGAUUCCUCCUUCCUGAAGAAUCGUAAUGCCAUUAAUUUGGUGUUGCGGGGAAACAGGACUGUUACUUUGAAAAAAUUAGAGUGUUUAAAGCAAGCUAACGCUUGAAUACAUUAGCAUGGAAUAAUGAAAUAGGACGAUCGAUCCUAUUUUGUUGGUUUCUAGGAUUGACGCA
rnacentral:rRNA from 1 species